rnacentral:rRNA from 1 species
UACGGAGGGUGCCAGCGUUAUUCGGAAUCAUUGGGUGUAAAGCGCGUGUAGGCGGCUUGGCAAGUCAGAUGUGAAAGCUCAGGGCUCAACCCUGAAAGUGCAUUUGAAACUGCUUGGCUUGAGUCCCGGAGAGGAAGGUGGAAUUCCCAGUGUAGAGGUGAAAUUCGUAGAUAUUGGGAGGAACACCGGUGGCGAAGGCGACCUUCUGGACGGAGACUGACGCUGAGACG